rnacentral:sRNA from 1 species
UCCACCAGUACACCUGGCGCCUUGCGGA